CAUUUACCCUUACCUGAAUAUUGUAUAUUGUAUAUUGCAUAGCUUUCUUGUUAAUUUGUAUUGUAUUUAUUUAAAUUUUUACUUUUUAAUUAUUUUAUUUGCAUUUUUUAAUCACUCUCUUAUAUUUAAAUGUUCAUUUGCUAUUUCAUCUAGGGUUUGAGAGUAACGAAAUUUCUAUUCUCUGUAUGUCCUGUACAUGUGGCAGAAUUGACAAAUAAAGUUGACUUUGACUUUGACUCUGUCUCUGCUACAUUACUGACUGCAAGCUGUCACAUUUACAUUUAGUAAAUACUCCUUAUACCACUUAUACACUUUUAUUUUAUUACACUACAGAUUUUCUGAUGAAGAAAUACGGUAUAUAUAUAGGCAACCUGAUGAAGCAGUAUUUCACUUCAAAAAACUAAGAAGGAAGCACUGCAGUGAAGUUACAGCUGAGUUUACCUGCAUUCAACUGGUGGAGGAUGCUGAUAUUUUUCCUUCUCAUCUUUUCUGACAGUUUGAAUGUUUCCAAGAAUGAAAUUCAAAUUGCGAAAUCUCCUGGAGGCACCAAAACUGAAAGUGGAAUACAGAAAACUACUGUGAGAGAAGAGUGUGUGUUUCCACUGGUAUUUUUUGGUGUGUUUGUCAUCUAUCUAUUUAUAAAUAAUAACAACUGUAUUAAUUAAUAAUUGAAUUGUAUGCUUUAAGCUCUUCCAGAUGAUAAAAAUAAACCUGUCAUGGUUCUGGGUCAUUUUGACUCAGCAUUUUGAGUUUCUUAUGUUUUGGUUUUAUUUUGCAUUAUGGGUUAUAUUCUGAUUCUAUUGUUGUACUUUGUUGGUUAUUAUUAUUAUUAUCCUGUGUUCUGGUUUCUGUUUUUGUAUUUUGAGCCCUUCUAUUCUGUGUGUAGUCUAUGUCUCUGUGCCUGCCCUGGUCCCAUGUCUGUGAUGUCAUAGUGUUUGCUUUAAGUUUUGCCUGUCAUGUUUCUUGUUUUACUUUGAAAGUCUGUGUCGAUGUGUCUAGUUUUGAUUCCCUUGUCUUGUUAAGUCUGAUUUCUCUCAGCUGUGUUUCCCUCCUGUCUUAUAUUCCCUGAUUACUCCAGUGUGUAUUUAAGCCCUGUUUUCCUUACCUUGUAUUGUGUUAUACCCUCUUCAUGCUGUAUUUUUUUUCCCUUGUACUCCUGUUAGGUUUGUAGUGUAGGUUUCUUAGUUCCUGUUACCAGUUUAAUUUCUAGUUUUGCUUUGAGGUUUUGGUUUGUUUUUGUAAAGUCUAUUUUCUCAGCAAUACAGCUGCGCUUUAAGUUUAACCUCCCGUCUACGAGUCCUGCAUUUGGGUCCAAUCCUUCCUGCC
ensembl:lncRNA